UAGAACACUUCCUAACACCAUACACAAAGAUAAACUCAAAAUGGAUUAAAGAUCUAAAUGUAAGACCAGAAACUAUAACACUCUUAGAGGAAAACAUAGGCAGAAUACUCAAUGACACAAAUCAAAGCAAAGAUCCUCUAGGACCCAUAUCCUAGAGUAAUGGAAAUAAAAACAAAAGUAAAUAAAUGGGACCUACUUUUGAACAAUG